GGGAAAGCAGCAGUGGGGAAUAUUGGACAAUGGGCGCAAGCCUGAUCCAGCCAUACCGCGUGGGUGAAGAAGGCCUUCGGGUUGUAAAGCCUUUUGUUGGGAAAGAAAUCCAUCUGGCUAAUACCCGGGUGGGAUGACGGUACCCAAAGAAUAAGCACCGGCUAACUUCGUGCCAGCAGCCGCGGUAAUACGAAGGGUGCAAGCGUUACUCGGAAUUACUGGGCGUAAAGCGUGCGUAGGUGGUCGUUUAAGUCCGUUGUGAAAGCCCUGGGCUCAACCUGGGAACUGCAGUGGAUACUGGGCGACUAGAAUGUGGUAGAGGGUAGCGGAAUUCCUGGUGUAGCAGUGAAAUGCGUAGAGAUCAGGAGGACAUCCAUCCUACGGGAGGCAGCAGGCUACACAAAUAUUGACGGUGAGGCACGAAAGCGUGGGGAUCAAACAGGAUUAGAUACCCUGGUAGUCCACGCCCUAAACGAUGAUUACUCGACAUUUGCGAUAU
rnacentral:rRNA from 1 species